CAAAGGGACAAGGAAGGGGAGGAGAGGUAGCCUCCGCAUCAAGCAAGUCUCCCUUUGACUCAGCCCAUAGCAGUUAUGCAUACCGUGAGUUUGCUGAUCAGCCACCAACUAUGUUCUGCAACAUGUCUGUUUGCUACACCUAAGCCCAACCAGAGAAUCCUGGCCUGACCAGAAGGAUUUCUGCAGGAGUGGAUACAUCUGCCAGUGUCUACAUUGCCUCUUACUGCACAAGCCAAGAACUACGGCAAAGUGUCCACCCGAGAUCUGCAUCAAUGGUGAACAAAUCCUUCAAUGCUAUUUACAGUUUGAGAACACGAUCCUCUUCAUUUGUUAGGCUCCCAUCCAGCUUGUCUAGCUUCUUCAUGCUCUCUGAGUUUAUCAGUUGCUUGAGAGAGAGAGUGAAUCAAACAGAGGAUGCCCACGCUGGAAAUACAGUGUAGUCUAGUUGCUGUACAAUGGCUCUAGCCGCAUGUGAU